CUUAGAGAAGAAAAUGUCACAAGACCGUCAACUUCUGAUCCUGCUGUUUAUAUUGGCACAGAUGUGUGUAGGGACACCAUCACCAGCUUAAUUUUUUGUUUUUGGUGACCUUGUGGGGGGGUCUUCAGUUUCCUCCAGUUGAUAAGCAAGAAAAGAGGAUGAGGAUGAUUAAGGAAGCAGUUUUCUACCCAACCUUCUAAAUGUCCACAUUUCUGUUCAUUUUCCUUUGGCCAGAACUCGGUCGCAGAACCGCAAACCAACUGCAAGAAUGGCUAGAAACUAAAAACUUCUGCAUCUGAGGAUGGGAAAGAGUCUGGAGGGCUUAGUCUGCCACCUGACGUAUUGAUACGCAAUUAAAGAAGAUUUCUUUGUAUCAGACAGGGUUAUAGAGGAUACUUGGUACAAGAUUGUUAUGUGGGCAUCAGAUCAAGGCUAAAGCUUACUCUAUAUUUGAGUCUGCAUUAACCGGACAGCAGUGGAAACCUCUUUGGGCAGAAUGGCACCAGGUCUACAGUGCAGGAAGAACCAGCUUCUAUUUCCUUAGGUCAGAUGCUAAGGGAGUGAUAAUACUUUUAUGAUUGUUUGAUAUUUCCACGACAACAGAGUCUUUCCUGAUAAAUCCCUGGGGUCAUAAAACAGCCAUUUCUUUGCCUAAGCUGCUGUAAGUUGAUAUAAUUCCCCUUGACAUGUUUUAGUUUUCCCACUUAAGGUUAGAUCAACAAUAUAGCUCUUGUUAUGUCCUUACUCUCAGACUCGUUGAGUGUCUAUUAUGAAAACACAGUCCCAGUGGUUUGGGACUUUAGCUUUAAAUAAUAUGGUGGCUUUUACAGAACAAGAAAGCAUCAGUUCAUGAGAAAUUCAUUGGAGAGCAAUAAUUUGUAUGUUCAAUAAAAUGUCCUAAAAUAAUAGCCCACAAUAACACCAGUCUGUUUCCCUUUUGUGUAAUCAACUCCAGGAAAGGGUGGACUAUGUGUGGAUCAAUGCUGAGGGGAAGCUCUCCAGUCUGACUAUCUACGGUUUGGGAUGCCAAGAGAACUGAAGCCUUCGUGCUUUGGUACUAUUGUGGUCUACACAAGGCGGCCAGUGACUCUGACUUCACAAUUUGCUCUAUUAUUUUCCAGCUCAGGUGAUGGUUAAAGCCCAUAAUGGUGGGCCAAAGGCACAGAGGCAGGAACAACUGAAGAGAGCCACUUCUUGAUCUGGGUGCUCUCUUUGGUCAGAGUUACCACUCUGAAGAAUGGGGACUUGUCUGAGACUACUACUCUGUCAGAAGGCCUCAACUCUGGCCCUCCUUUUCUCCGGCAUUGCGAAUUUCUGGUAAUCUUGGGUUAUUAUCACACCGAGCUGCUAACCUGAGUCUUGACACUCCUCAUGGAGACCUGUGUCAGAAAUAAUUACAGAGGAAGUAAGGUUCUGUUGAUGAAGUGGCAAGAGCUCACCUUUCUUGGCAUUGACUGUUUUGUGUGGUUGUCGGGAUCCUGAGAGCCGAGACAGGACCAUUUAGCAUCCACUGACACCGACCAUCAUCUUUGCCAAAAAAAAAAAAAAAAAAAAAAAAAAAAAAAAAAAAAAAAAGUAGGGGAGGAAAAGCUACCAUUUCCAAAAAUGCUUACUUCCAAGAUACUCUGCUUGUGCUAAG
ensembl:lncRNA